GGACUACUGGGGUUUCUAAUCCUGUUUGCUCCCCUAGCUUUCGCAGCUCAGCGUCAGUGAUGGCCCAGAUACCUGCUUUCGCCAUAGGUAUUCCUCCCGAUAUCUACGCAUUUCACCGCUACACCGGGAAUUCCAGUAUCCCCUACCACACUCCAGUCCGGUAGUUUCCCUUGGCCUCUCCCAGUUGAGCCGGGAGCUUUCACAAAAGACUUACCGAACCGCCUACCUGCGCUUUACGCCUAGUGAUUCCGAGUAUCGCUUGCCACCUACGUAUUACCGCGGCGGCUGGCAC
rnacentral:rRNA from 1 species